UACGUAGGGACCAAGCGUUGUCCGGAAUCAUUGGGCGUAAAGAGCGUGUAGGCGGCUUGUUAAGUCUUGCGUGAAAUCUCGGGGCUCAACCCCGAGCGGUCGUGAGAAACUGGCAGGCUAGAGUGCGGGAGAGGAGAACGGAAUUCCUGGUGUAGCGGUGAAAUGCGCAGAUAUCAGGAGGAACACCGGUGGCGAAGGCGGGUCUCUGGGCAAUAACUGACGCUGAGGAGCGAAAGCGUGGGGAGCGAACAGG
rnacentral:rRNA from 1 species